CUACUCCCAUAUCACGUAAAUCACGUCAAGCUUGCAGGUGUCUGUGUCCACGUGCCACACGUACACGUGCAGAGACAUAGCCUCCCUUCAUACCUCGGUGUCUACGUGUGCACAUCUGCUUCCGCUAGCGGUGGAGAAGUGCUAGUGCGCCUCUGGGAGGACGAGGCGCAGGACAAGGAGGCUGCCGUUGCGGCUACGCGGCUCUCUGCACUCCGGCACAUACCCACAUGUGCACAGACAGAUACGCGCCGACUCCUCUCGCUCUCAUCUCUAUUUAAAGGCAUACAGGUUGAAGCGCUGGAAUCUCCUUUGUUUCGCUACAAGAACGCAUCCCGCUUUUCCUCGCACACCACCACCACCCUCUCCACCUGCCCGUCCCACGUUCCCCCCUCAUCGUGUUCGCUGUCGUCGUUGUCUUGAGGGCGUCGUUGUGUUUCUUUGGUGGGGUUUCGUUUUGAUGUAAGGCUCUUCCUUUUUGUCCUUUCACUCGUGUGCACUGGCGGGAGCCUCCGGUCAAAACUCAACACACACACAUACACACAUACACACAUCCCUCCGCCCUCCCUCCAACCACCACCUAGAAGGGGCCCCUCUCCCUCUCGUCUGUAGGCGUGUGUAUUUAUGUGUGUGUGUGCUCUGGUGUCGGUCGUCAUCUCACCGCCGCUUCUCCGUCGUCGUCUCCGUUUCGCUUCUUCGUCUCCGAGUCGGCCGACGCCGCCACCCUUACCACCACGCCUCGACCCCUCUCCCUUCCCCGUUGUCUCUCGGUCUCCCUGGUGUCGGCAGCGGUGGUACUGCUGCUGCUGCUCUUGCUGCUGACGAGGUCGGCGUUGUUUUUCCCUUCGUUUUCCUCUUCGCUUCACCUGUUUUUGCUCCCAUUCGCUGCUGUCUCUCGCUCUCGCCCCGUCAGCCUCUGUGCGCGCGCGUUCGCUGUCGCUUGGGGGCAAGCCUCUUCCACUUCUCGCUCGCCCAUCCACGCGUGGCCCCCUCCCCCUCUCUUUACACGACAUCGCUCGUACUAUUCCUCUCCUCCCCUCUUAUCCACCAGCGGCGCCCGUCUCUCCGGCGCGCCGGCUGCGCACGCGUUGACGGACGUUUUUUUUUGCUUUUUUCUUGUGUGCGGCGUUGACGGAGGCGUGCGCUCCGCGGUGCGGGUCCUUUCUCUUGGCUGUUGUCUGUGUGGUUGCGGUGGCAGUGGUGGUUGCCGCCCUUGUCCUUUACCGUGUAGUCGCACACGCACACACACACAUACAUAUAUGUAAAUUUAUUAUUAUUAUAUAUAUAUAUAUUAGAGCGCAUUCCUAUUGGUCGGUGUGUGUGUGUGUCCUUCCCCCUCCCCCACGCUGUGAUUUCUUAUGUCACUUCUUCGUGUCACUCAGUGGCUGACGGCGGAUGGAAAAGUACAAAUCGAUGUCACCAACACCAGCGGACGGACACAGUACCCGCCGUCGCAGGACCCACCGAGCUCGCUGCAGCCAAGCAGCAGCAAGGUCCGCCGUGCUCGUGGCAUCCCCGACCGCGAUGAACCGUGCUCACUAAUCGUGUCUCUGCGCUCAUCGCACCCGCAAUUCUUCUAUUACCGCGGGCCGCAGCACAAGCAGCUGUCCUUCUCCACGUCGGUGGCCUCACACCUGUACGCGCCGCCUCCAGGAAGCGCCUCCAGCGCCGGAGGUGUUGGCGGUUGUGGGAACAAUAACAAGCAUCAGCGCGGUCCAUCGUCACUGUGGGGUCCCAGAGUUGUUGAUCCGGUCAUCGAAGACGUGUCGCGGCAGGCCUGGAAAGACUUGGGAUUUCCUCCCAUCGUGGCGCCGGCUGCGGGGACAGUGAAAUCAUCAGCAGCCGCGCCAGAAGCAGCCUCGUCAUUGGUGGGCAAGAGCAAUAACGGAGGCAGCGGUGAUGAUCGGCCGCUGCUGGUGCGCGAAGAACUGGCGGACUGCGUCUUGCUACCCGGGGAGCGGCGCACCUUCUUGUUGGAGGUGGACACCCCGUCCGUGCUGCAGCGCCUCAUGGCGCCGCUCGUGCAGCAAAAAGCGCGGAUCACAUCUGUUCCGCCGCUGCGAGGGAAUGCAAUGGCGCAAGACUCCUGCCCCCUCCCGGCCCUCCGCGGCUCGCCCCCGCUGCUCGGCGGCCACAGCAGGGACACCGGCAGCAAGCCGCAGCCGAGGGCAGCGCACACCCACGGCACGGAAGACGUUACAAACGUUCCACUCAGCGAGAGCGCGCUCCGUGCGACGGAGGUGUUCCACCUGAGUAGGCGUGAGUCUUCCAGCAUGGGCGGCAAGCCGAAUCCCACCUUGUUCCCGGCAACCCGUCGCACCGCCGCAAAAGACGCCAAGUCAUCUUUGGGUGACGGGCAGCAGCAGCAGCAGCAGCAGCAGCGAGCCCUGAGCAAGCGCGGUAACGGCCCUCUCCAGAGCUCUAGAAGUAGAAGCAGCAGCAGCAGUGAGAUCAGCGACUGCGACAGCCACUCAUACAACUCUGUGCCCCAGCUGAACAAGACGCAGCACCCAACACGUCAGUGGGCAAUGCCGUGGGGUGCCGACGACGAGGGUGACCGCAAAGGUGAUGCAGCGGACCAGACACCACCCGGGAACGGUCGGCGCAGCCGACGACCACACGAAAAGCGUGACAUGAGCGACACAGAGGACGGCAAUGACCGCUCGCUGUCGCCACAGCCGCUCAGCAUCGUGCAGGACAGCAUGACCACCCGUGAGUCGCUGGACGCCUCACGUCUAUCCGCUGCUACCGCUCCGAGCGCCCCUGGGCCCGGGCCAUCUGGUGGCACGGCACGUGACUCUCAACUCACCAGCCGCGACUUCACAGUGCCCAGCUCCAUGAGCACGACAGCAGCUAGCACCCCUUUCCUCGCCAAGGCCAGCAGGGAGGAUUCUGGAAAGCCAAAUACGCAUCCGCGCGUCGGCGCUGCGGGCAGUGGCGCCACACGCACACUCUACGAUGGUGAUGCGAACGAAGCGGCCAACCCGGCGAAUGACAGCAGCGAUCGCGCGCAGCGCUGGUUGCCGCCCGCCUCGACGUCGCAGCGCCCCACCUUUUAUGUCUACUACGCACCGCUCGGGGAUGAGAACAAGUGUGUCGACGAGGCGCGCAAAUGGCUGCUGAAGGAGCAGCACGCGUACCGCCAGUGGCUCGACAAACUGGUGCGCGUUAUUGUCGAUCUGGAGCGGAAACGCGAGCAAGGGUGGAUACGGACGAGCAAUAACUCAGUCCAUUCGCCGCAUCGGCCGCUCGGUGCUCGGCGUGUGCUGCCGCCCAUACUCGGGGAGCUUGUCCGGUGGCGCACCGGCGAUGGCGGCAGCGGCGCCGUGAUUGACGUGAUGGCGCCGUCACCCAUCACUGCCGCUGCCUUUCAGUACUACUACGGCAACCUCCCGCUCCAGAAAAUCGUGCAUCGACCCCUCUCGCAACUAAGCGUUCGCAGCAACAGCAUCCGUCACUCAUGGAUGGGUGGCGGCAGCGGCAGCAACAGAAACGCUGGCGGUGUUCACGACAAGGAAGCUGUGUUGGUACUUCCGCCGUCCUUCGCCGCUACGCGGCACAACCGCGUUAGCGCGAAGGCACGCAAAAUGUUCAAGGAGGAGCGUCACGGUGCCGGGACGGUGGUGCUGCCGCUUCAGGUAAAAGCCCAGUCCGCAGCGCAGCCGUCGCCUAAGCCGAUCGUCGGCAACGGCGGCGCCGUCAGUGCGGCCACCGCCACCCAGCCGUCCCCCUCAUCGUCGCAGACGUCCGAAGAAAUGUGCGACCUUUCGCGCAAGUCGUCUGAGCCGCCGUACAGCAGAGUCUGGACGACGAUGUCGUCGCCGUGGCAGCUGCGCACCUACCAGGCCACCUCACCACCGCAUUACACAAUGGAGAACUCCUCCGAACUGGGGGACUACCGCGGCAGCAGCACGCCCAUGAGUGAGAGCCCACGCGCCGAGACGGGCUACGAGCGCCCGCGCUUCAAAUCGGGGUGUGGCCUGGCGCUCCUGGAGGAUUCGGCUGCAACUCUGCCAACGUUUUCGCGCAACUCGCUCGCAGAUGGGAUGUCUGCGCUUCCAUCGAAGACCGAUAACACGGGGACUCCGAUGGACUUGAAGGAGAGUUUUCUCAGCCCUAGCAGCUCCAAGGUGAAUCGCACAGAAACACUUGACCCAGUCGCAGCGGAGAUGGCGGCGGCGGGCCUUCCUACGUCCCGCUGGUCGUCGCUUAGCGGCGUCUACGGCCAGAUGCACCGCGGGUUCUCCGACUCGCCGCUGCAGCAGCGACCGCAGCUGCCGUCCUCCCCCUCCAUCGGGGACAUGGCCUCCCCGGAUAGCCGCAUCCCGAGCAGCAGCAGCACUGGAGUGGGUGGUACCGGUGCUGCCUCACAGGGCGCAGUGCGGCUGAGCUACAACUCGCCACCCUCCUCUAGUGGUGCUCCGGGCAACGCCCGCAGCGCCGACGACUCCGCGGCUGCCUCGAGCGCCGCGGCCGCGGUGGGACGCUCUGGGAGCACCCCCACCACCACCAGCAGCAAUGGCGUCCUAAAGAAGCUCUCGCUGGCGGACAUUCAAGGGGCAAUCACAGAUGGCGCUCUUACGGCCACUGUGCCGGCGGGCAGCUUCGCAGCUCAGCUACUUCAGUCUAUCUGUGGCUACGGCGGCAGUGCCAAGCAUGACGUCGAUGAGGAAGGCAAUGCGGCGCCUCACAUGCGCGACAUCUCCUCUGCGCCGCCGCAGACGCUGGCGUAUCGCCGUCGCAGCACCGCCGUUUCCAACAGCUUCACCGGGAGCAUAUUCGGCAGCAGCUUCUCGAUGCGUCCCCAGGAGCGACUGAACCGGAUGGCUGACCAGUCAAUGGCAGCUGGCAGUCAGGUGAAGGUUGCAGUGCAGCAGUUGACGGCGACCGCGUCCGACCUUGUGCAGCAGCACGGCCCGCCUGCCAUGAGCGGGCUCAUGAGUCUUCUGAACUUCCUCAAGGACACUGUCUUCACCCCCGAGAACGUGGGCAUGAUUCAGAUGGUGGUGGCGCCGAUGGUGAUGGCAUGCUCCGUGCUUGUGGUUGUCUACCUCAUCUUCAGCGGCGAGGGCAUCGGGAGCGAUGUCUUCUCACUGAUAGACGGCAGGGGCCUGUGAUGAGGAUGUAGAGAGCGCGCGUGUGUGCAAGUGUCGGACUGGGCGAUGGGCUGACUUAGGAGCGAAACGAACGUUGUUUGUGCGCUGAUGGACGUCGAGGAUCGAUGAUGAUGCGUGGGAAGCGGGGUAAUGGAAAGGAAGGAAAGGGUGCGAGGACACGCCACCAGAGACAUGCAUCACUGUUCUUGUGUGCGCAGGUGUGUGUGUGUGUGUCGAUACGUGUGACCCUGUCGUCUCUCCACCACCACCACCACCACCCUCCCCUUCGUCACCGCGGAGCACUGUCUCGCCUGCAGACCUCAUACCUUCCCGCCCACCCACCUCACUCCUCCCAUCUGCACGUCAUCAAGGGCCGCCGCUAAGGCUGUCGCUCUCUCUUCUGUUUUAAUCGUCGGGCCCUCGUCGUCCUCUCUCGCCAUCGACCAGGGCAUCUGUAUUCGCCCCUCCUUCCCUUCCUCUCUCCUUCCUCUCUAUCCUCGCCAUCCUCGCCAUCCUCCGACAGCCGUAAACAGAGGCACGCGCGAGGGUUCGCAUAUGCCCGUACACGAACACGCGCGCGUGCGUGGCAUUGGUGGUGUAGGUGCACACAUACUAUGGGAGAGGGAGGGAGGGGCGGUGUCCGUCCUUUCAUUGGUGCGCAUAUGCGUGUCCGUGGCUUUGAGGGCAGCGCACCAUUUUCUACUCUAUUUGAGUGUGGUGGACUGCGUCUACUUGGCCCCCUCUCUCCACUCUUAUUACUCGCUUCUGCCCUUUUAUUUUGCUGUGCCGCGUCUGCGUGCGUGCGUUGGUGUGUGUGUGUGUGUGUGUGUGUGUGUGUAGGGGGAGAAGGGAAGAGACUGAGGGCAAGUAGAAGAGCAGCAACAGCAAGCGACAGUGUGGAUAUGGGUUGGGUUAGGGUAUGCUUUGGGGGGGGGAGUAUGUUUGUGCUUGCGUUUGGUUGAGAACCAGGAGCAGUGGCUGUCUCCCCCUCCUCGCUUGGUUGCUUGCUCCAUUUCACACGCUCUCGAGCACAGAGACGGUUCAGGUAGCUCAUCGCCCUCCUCCAUCAUCGGCUUGGUCCGACGCAAUCCUGCCUCGUUCCGCCCACCUCGUCUAUCUCUUAUUCCACGUCUCACACCCCACCACCG
rnacentral:misc_RNA from 1 species